rnacentral:rRNA from 1 species
UGGGGAAUAUUGGACAAUGGACCGAGAGUCUGAUCCAGCAAUUCUGUGUGCACGAUGAAGUUUUUCGGAAUGUAAAGUGCUUUCAGUUGGGAAGAAAAAAAUGACGGUACCAACAGAAGAAGUGACGGCUAAAUACGUGCCAGCAGCCGCGGUAAUACGUAUGUCACAAGCGUUAUCCGGAUUUAUUGGGCGUAAAGCGCGUCUAGGUGGUUAUGUAAGUCUGAUGUGAAAAUGCAGGGGUCAACUCUGUAUUGCGUUGGAAACUGUAUAACUAGAGUACUGGAGAGGUAAGCGGAACUACAAGUGUAGAGGUGAAAUUCGUAGAUAUUUGUAGGAAUGUCGAUGGGGAAGCCAGCUUACUGGACAGAUACUGACGCUAAAGCGCGAAAGCGUGGGUAGCAAACAGG